AUACCGGCAAAACAGGGGAAACCCUGCGACGCAAAGCUGCAGGACCUAAGAAGUAUUCGAUGGUAGCCAGUUGCA
rnacentral:ncRNA from 1 species